rnacentral:tRNA from 1 species
GAAGACAGAACUCGAGUGGUUUGAGUGUUUCCCUUUUAAGGAAGAAGUCUUGGUUCGAGUCCAAGUGUUUUCU